rnacentral:rRNA from 1 species
AUCACAGAGUGUUGCACAAAAUUUGUUGAAACAUUCUCUCUUGAUAGUUCAUCUGAUGUUGAGGCAUAUCAUCUUAUUUCCAAGUUGAAGAUUAUGAGAUCCACUUUGCCAGAUGGCGUACUGUUUGCUCUGGAGAUUUUUGGGCAUGUCAGAGAAGUUGAUUGUUAGCCGAAUAUCUUCAUUGCUUAUCGCAUCUUAUUUGCUGUGUCUGUGACGGUCGUAUCGGCUGAAAAAAUUUCAAAGCUAGAAUUGUUGAAGAAUUAUUUGAGGUCAACAAUGACUCGAGAGAGGUUAAAUUGUUUGGCUACAUUAUUCAUCGAGGAGAAAUUAUUGGAUGAGAUUGACAUCGACCCCAUCAUAAGUGACUUUGCAUCGAGGAAAGUUAGAAGAAAUUUUUAA